rnacentral:rRNA from 1 species
UACAGAGGGUGCAAGCGUGUUCGGAAUUAUUGGGCGUAAAGCGCGUGUAGGCGGCUUUGCAAGUCGGGUGUGAAAGCCCUCGGCUCAACCGAGGAAGUGCGCCCGAAACUGCAGAGCUUGAGUACCGGAGAGGAUGGCGGAAUUCCCAAGUAGAGGUGAAAUUCGUAGAUAUGGGGAGGAACACCGGUGGCGAAGGCGGCCAUCUGGACGGAUACUGACGCUGAGACGCGAAAAGCGUGGGGAGCAAACAGGG